rnacentral:lncRNA from 1 species
UUUUUUUUUUUUUUUUUUUUUUUGGUGAAUCACUUGGGCCGCAGAAUAUGUCAACUAUGCCUGAUUGGAAUUUCCAUUUUGGCCAUAAUUUUUGUGCCUCAAGAAAUGCAGAUCCUACGUAUGGUUUUGGCAACUUUGGGAGGAGCGUUUUCUUUUGUUUCUGUUGGCUGUACUGCUGUGCAUGCAAAUGAGCUACUUCCCACUAUAAUCAGAGGAAGAGUCUCCAGACAAGCAAAGCAUAAAGAUACUUUCAUCAAAGUGACACAGUUUUAAGGAACUCCAAGAACUGAAAUCUGAUAAGCAGCAAGAUAAGAAAACUAUCACUGAGAUUUAAGAUGGUCCAGGUUCACUCUAGAUAUAGCAAAAUUCUUAAUCAAAUAACAUAGCAAAAAGUUUGUAUUAAAUUUAAAAUUUCCAUACUCAACUGAUACACAAAUUAUCUCAAUAACAAAAU